rnacentral:rRNA from 1 species
GAUGGAGGGGGAUAACUACUGGAAACGGUAGCUAAUACCGCAUAACGUCGCAAGACCAAAGAGGGGGACCUUCGGGCCUCUUGCCAUCGGAUGUGCCCAGAUGGGAUUAGCUAGUAGGUGGGGUAACGGCUCACCUAGGCGACGAUCCCUAGCUGGUCUGAGAGGAUGACCAGCCACACUGGAACUGAGACACGGUCCAGACUCCUACGGGAGGCAGCAGUGGGGAAUAUUGCACA